ACCGCGAUAGCUCAGCCGGUAGAGCAUCUGCUUGGUAUGCGGAGGGUCGCCGAUUCGAUUCUGGCUCGCGGCG
rnacentral:tRNA from 1 species